rnacentral:rRNA from 1 species
UCAGAUUGAACGCUAGCGGCAGACAUAACACAUGCAAGUCGAGCGGCAUCAUACAGGUUGGCAAGCGGCGCACGGGUGAGUAAUACAUGUAAAUAUACCUUAAAGUGGGGAAUAACGUACGGAAACGUACGCCUAAUACCGCAUAAUUAUUACGAGAUAAAGCAGGGGCUUGAUAUAAAAACAAUCAACCUUGCGCUUUUAGAAAAUUACAUGCCGGAUUAGCUAGUUGGUAGAGUAAAAGCCUACCAAGGUAACGAUCCGUAGCUGGUCUGAGAGGAUGAUCAGCCACACUGGGACUGAGAAAAGGCCCAGACUCCUACGGGAGGCAGCAGUGGGGAAUAUUGGACAAUGGGGGGAACCCUGAUCCAGUCAUGCCGCGUGUGUGAAGAAGGCCUUUGGGUUGUAAAGCACUUUCAGCGAAGAAGAAAAGUUAUAAAAUAAAAAGUUAUAACUAUGACGGUACUCGCAGAAGAAGCACCGGCUAACUCCGUGCCUUUUUCCGCGGUAAGACGGAGGGUGCAAGCGUUAAUCAGAAUUACUGGGCGUAAAGGGCAUGUAGGUGGUUUGUUAAGCUUUAUGUGAAAGCCCUAUGCUUAACAUAGGAACGGAAUAAAGAACUGACAAACUAGAGUGCAGAAGAGGAAGGUAGAAUUCCCGGUGUAGCGGUGAAAUGCGUAGAUAUCUGGAGGAAUACCAGUUGCGAAGGCGACCUUCUGGGCUGACACUGACACUGAGAUGCGAAAGCGUGGGGAGCAAACAGGAUUAGAUACCCUGGUAGUCCACGCUGUAAACGAUAUCAACUAGCCGUUGGAUUCUUAAAGAAUUUUGUGGCGUAGCUAACGCGAUAAGUUGAUCGCCUGGGGAGUACGGUCGCAAGGCUAAAACUCAAAUGAAUUGACGGGGGCCCGCACAAGCGGUGGAGCAUGUGGUUUAAUUCGAUGCAACGCGCAAAACCUUACCUACUCUUGACAUCCAAAGUACUUUCCAGAGAUGGAAGGGUGCCUUAGGGAACUUUGAGACAGGUGCUGCAUGGCUGUCGUCAGCUCGUGUUGUGAAAUGUUGGGUUAAGUCCCGUAACGAGCGCAACCCUUCCUGA